rnacentral:rRNA from 1 species
GGAUUGCNUCAGUAGCGGCGAGUGAAGCGGCAAGAGCUCAGAUUGAAAUCGUGUUCGGCACGAGUCGUAAAUUGCAGGUUGGAGUCUUGUGGAAGUGCGUGUCCAAGUCCCUUGGAACAGGGCGCCAGUGAGGGUGAGAGCCCCGUGGGAUGCGCAUUGAAGCUGUAAGGCCCUUCUGACGAGUCGAGUUGUUUGGGAAUGCAGCUCUAAGCGGGUGGUAAAUUCCAUCUAAGGCUAAAUAUUGGCGAGAGACCGAUAGCGAACAAGUACUGUGAAGGAAAGAUGAAAAGCACUUUGAAAAGAGAGUGAAACAGCACGUGAAAUUGUUGAAAGGGAAGGGUAUUGGGUCCGACAUGGGGACUGCGCAUCGUUGCUUCUUGUAGGCGGCGCUCUGUGCUCUCUCUGGGCCAGCAUCGGUUUUUGCCGCAGGAUAAGGGGCGUUGGAACGUGGCUCCUCGGAGUGUUAUAGCCAACGCCAGAUGCUGCGAGCGGGGACCGAGGGCUGCGACAUUUGUCUCGGAUGCUGGCAUAACGGCUCAAUACCGCCC